rnacentral:rRNA from 1 species
CGGGUUAACAGAGGGAUGCGAAGCCGUGAGGCAGAGCGAACCCCCAAAAGCCGUCCCAGUUCGGAUCGCAGGCUGCAACCCGACUACAUGAAGCUGGAAUCGCUAGUAAUCGCGAAUCAGAAUGUCGCGGUGAAUACGUUCCCGGGUCUUGUACACACCGCCCGUCACACCAUGGGAGUCGGAAAUGCCCGAAGUCAGUGACCCAACCGUAAGGAGGGAGCUGCCGAAGGUGGAGCCGGUAACUGGGGUGAAGUCGUAACAAGGUACC